GGUGGAGCCUGAGCACUCACGUUGGGACCCGAAAGAUGGUGAACUAUGCCUAGACAGGGGAAACCUUGUUGGAAGUCCGAAGCGGUUCUGACGUGCAAAUCGAUCGUCUGAUCCGUAUAUAGGGGCGAAAGACUAAUCAAAUAAUCUAGUAGCUGGUUCCCUCCGAAGUUUCCCUCAGGAUAGCUGGUGCUCGAUCGAAAUUCAAUCACGAUUGGUAAAGCGAAUGAUUAGAGGCCUUGGGGCCGAAGCGACCUCAACCUAUUCUCAUACUUUCAAUGGUCGUAGAGUUCUCCUUUCUCGACUUUAAGGUUGGACGGUGGAUGAGAGCCUAGAGGGCCAUUUUUGGUAAGCAAAACUGGCGCUGUGGGAUGAACCAAACGCCGGGUUAAGGCGCCCGAUGCAGAGACGCUCAUGAGACCCCAUAAAAGGUGUUGGUUGCUCCAGACAGCAAGACUGUGGCCAUGGAAGUCGACAUCCGCUAAGGAGUGUGUAACAACUCCACUGUCAAAGCAACUAGCCCUGAAAAUGGAUGGCGCUCCAGCGUCGAGCCCAUACCCGGUCGGCGCGGUAAAUGAUUUUUUUUAUUACCGCGCUGAGUAGGAGGGUCGCGGCGGUGGAAGGGCGUGGCGCAAGCCUGCCUGGAGACCCCGCCAGUGCAGAUCUUGGUGGUAGUUGCAAAUGCUUAAGUGAGAACCUUGAGGACUGAAGUUGGAGAAGGGUUCCAUGUCAACAGCGUUUGCGCAUGGGUGAGUCGGUCCUUAGCCAACGGAGAGAUCCGUGCUAGGCGAGACUUUACGAGUCACGCUAUAGACGAAAGGUUAUCGGGUUAAGAUUCCCGAACCCGGACACGAAAUAAAUGAAACUUUGGUCUCUGGUGCGGUAACGCAAACGAACUCAGAGACGCCCGUGAAGGCACCAGGGAAGAGAUUGUUUCUUUUCUUCGUAAGAGGU